GGAUGCCCUGACUUUAUCUUUCCUCGGUGCUUUACGUCCUAAUCUUUUUUCCUCUUGUUGUCCGAAGUCAAAGGUUUCAAAGCCAUUGGUCUUUCCAGGCAAAAGGGGUCUGGCAUAAAGUCUUCAACUUCAGCGAGAGGACAGGGUCUCUAACAUUUUGGAAACCAAGCCCAGAGAAGCAAGUUUAUCACGGUAAAUGACAUCGUGUGGUGUAGAAAUGGGCGCAAUAGUUGGCUGCACAUGAUCUUUUGCUUUUAAAAUAACCAUUGUUUCUUACAUGCGGCUAGAAUAUAUGUUAAGCAAUCAGGUUUAGUGAGUGAGGAGAGAACCCAGGACUGUCGAGUUUCACUGUUGUGGUGUUGCGGCCAUGGACAUGAAUGUUGAGGAAUAAACUGGGUUCUUGUUUUUCUUUUAAAA